rnacentral:rRNA from 1 species
AACGAACGCUGGCGGCAUGCCUAACACAUGCAAGUCGAGCGCCUGUAGCAAUACAGGAGCGGCGCACGGGUGAGUAACGCGUGGGAACCUGCCCUUAGGUUCGGAACAACCGCGGGAAACUGCGGCUGAUACCGGAUGAUGUCUUCGGACCAAAGAUUUAUCGCCUUUGGAGGGGCCCGCGUCGGAUUAGGUAGUUGGUGAGGUAACGGCUCACCAAGCCUGCGAUCCGUAGCUGGUCUGAGAGGAUGACCAGCCACACUGGGACUGAGACACGGCCCAGACUCCUACGGGAGGCAGCAGUGGGGAGUAUUGGACAAUGGGGGCAACCUUGAUCCAGCAAUGCCGCGUGGGUGAUGAAGGCCUUCGGGUUGUAAAGCCCUUUCGGCGGGGACGAUGAUGACGGUACCCGCAGAAGAAGCCCCGGCUAACUUCGUGCCAGCAGCCGCGGUAAAAC